rnacentral:rRNA from 1 species
GACGAACCGUGCGAACGUUGUUCGGAUUCACUGGGCUUAAAGGGCGCGUAGGCGGGUGAUCAAGUCCAGGGUGAAAUACUCCAGCUUAACUGGAGAAUAGCCCUGGAUACUGGUCGUCUUGAGGGAGGUAGGGGCAUGUGGAACUUCCGGUGGAGCGGUGAAAUGCGUAGAUAUCGGAAGGAACGCCGGUGGCGAAAGCGACGUGCUGGACCUCAUCUGACGCUGAGGCGCGAAAGCCAGGGGAGCAAACGGG